UUGGCAGUUUGUGUAUUUUUAAUUGCACUGGUUACUGCUCAGCACUACUAUAUGACUAUGUAGGUAUUUGGCUCCAUAGACAUUUUUAAAAAAAAUCCUAUGAAAGCAACAUGUUCCAUUGAACACAAAUUCCUUUCCCUGAAUGAAAGAAUAACCUACGUGUGACAAUGUCAGUCAAAUAACAGCACAAUUCUGAAAGGCACUCAGAUUUGUGACGUCCCAGUUGUGGAAGUCAGGAAGCACCCAGAUAUUAUGAGUUAUAAUACGAGCUAUAGAAUACUUGCUAACACAGAGAAGAGUGUCACAAUUAGCUGCAAACUCAAGUUCAGAUCCAUGUUUGUACUGAAACACUCCAGAGCCCAGAUGUUAACGGGGUUUUUCCAUUUUGUUCUAGGUCAGGGGUGUCCAAUUUCUAAGCACCCAGGGGCCACAGGCAUUGGAGGCCUUACAAGUGAGCCACAGGCCACUGGGUUGCGCAGACACUCCCCCACACCCUCCUGUUGCACUGUACACCUGCAUGGGCACCUCCAUACUACUGCACUGGGCACCCAACUCCUUGCUACACUGCACAGUCAGGCAAUUGGACAACUGGAGAACUACUAGGUUCAUGAUAUCACAGGGCAAGAACACAGGCAAGUUUGUCAGAUUUGCUUAUGGAAGGAAGGGACAUCACUUCCUCUACAGAAGGCCUGUGUGGUUGGAGAGGGCAGGACUGUUGGACAACUCUUCUCCUAAUCUUCAACAACAACCUAAAUACUGUGGAAUCCUCCAAAACUCAAGAGGAAAGGGUUUGGGGAAACUGUCCAGUAGGAAGGACCCUAGGAGGAGCUGUGCUACCAACAGGACUGAAGGGAACAAAGAAGCCAAGAGCUGGCAUGAAGGGCCACAGUAAAAGAAAGAAACACAGUUGCAUCAAGGACCAGACCCUACAAACUCAUACACAUGACACGAGUCAUCUUCAGAAAGGAAUGGUAUUGAUGAAAGGACCUGCAGGUUCAGACUUCCAAGGAUUUACUUACAUUGACAAAUAGUGGACAUCAAUGGAACUUCUUGAGGAGAACGUGGCUAUUCAAUGAGAAUUAAAGAUCUACACAGUAUAUUCUACCUCCUGCAGACUGCAGUUGUUAAAAGAAAAUAAAUCACUUAAACAGGGUCA
rnacentral:lncRNA from 1 species